CUGAAAAGUAAGCAGCUUUGUGGUGAGACAUGAGAACGUGUUCAAAACUUCGUAUGGACAACUCAAAAACAGAGGGAUAUACAAACGAAUAUAUGAACAGAUAGACGGACAUGGCUAUAUUGACUCAGCUCGCCGUGAUGAACGAGUAUGUGUACACUUUAUAGAGCGCUUUCUUCUGGGUGUUACCUUACCUUAUGUUUUCUAAAGAACAUUGAAAUUUAUCUAUUCAGGAUUUUUUGAACAAACAAUGGAAUCGCAAAGACCCUACAUUUAAGAGCAUGCAACGACACUCUAAGGCAGUAAGGGAGCAGUGAAGCUAAAAGGUUGUUGAUAAAUCUACGUUCAAAUAAAUAAGGUAGCUGUACAAUACUGUCCUAAUUUAGAUGUUUCAAGAUCUGUCAUAUAACAGAUUUAUACGGCUUUGUGGAAAAGCAGAAAGCGAAGAAUGUCAUAACUCUUUGGAAUUAUGGUGUAUAUCAUACGUUCUGUAAGUGUAAUUGGUUAAUGCUAUAUGAUGUUAGAAAGAUAAAUUUUUGCCGGAGACAGCAUCAGUAUCAUUUGAACACCAGUCGAAAGGGGACGCCAGCAAAAAACACAAAUGCCAUGUUACAUCUCUUCUUAAGCAAAACCAAAAACGGAAGCCAUCCGCGUGAAAAUGUGAAUAGUUUUUAUG